GUGGGGAAUUUUGGACAAUGGGCGCAAGCCUGAUCCAGCAAUGCCGCGUGCAGGAAGAAGGCCUUCGGGUUGUAAACUGCUUUUGUACGGAACGAAACGGUCUGGGUUAAUACCCUGGGCUAAUGACGGUACCGUAAGAAUAAGCACCGGCUAACUACGUGCCAGCAGCCGCGGUAAUACGUAGGGUGCAAGCGUUAAUCGGAAUUACUGGGCGUAAAGCGUGCGCAGGCGGUUUUGUAAGACAGGCGUGAAAUCCCCGGGCUCAACCUGGGAAUUGCGCUUGUGACUGCAAGGCUGGAGUGCGGCAGAGGGGGAUGGAAUUCCGCGUGUAGCAGUGAAAUGCGUAGAUAUGCGGAGGAACACCGAUGGCGAAGGCAAUCCCCUGGGCCUGCACUGACGCUCAUGCACGAAAGCGUGGGGAGCAAACAGGAUUAGAUACCCGGGUAGUCU
rnacentral:rRNA from 1 species